rnacentral:rRNA from 1 species
GAUGAACGCUGGCGGCAUGCCUAAUACAUGCAAGUCGAACGAGAGGAAGGAAAGCUUGCUUUCCUGAAUCUAGUGGCGAACGGGUGAGUAACACGUAGGUAACCUGCCCAUGUGCCCGGGAUAACUUCUGGAAACGGAUGCUAAAACCGGAUAGGUAGCAGACAAGCAUUUGACUGCUAUUAAAGUGGCCUUGGCCAUGAACAUGGAUGGACCUGCGGUGCAUUAGCUGGUUGGUGAGGUAACGGCCCACCAAGGCGACGAUGCAUAGCCGGCCUGAGAGGGCGGACGGCCACAUUGGGACUGAGACACGGCCCAAACUCCUACGGGAGGCAGCAGUAGGGAAUUUUCGUCAAUGGGGGGAACCCUGAACGAGCAAUGCCGCGUGAGUGAGGAAGGUCUUCGGAUCGUAAAGCUCUGUUGUAAGAGAAAAACGGCACUCAUAGGGAAUGAUGAGUGAGUGAUGGUAUCUUACCAGAAAGUCACGGCUAACUACGUGCCAGCCGCCGCGGUAAAAC